rnacentral:lncRNA from 1 species
AUCCGUAACACUUUAUUUUGAGUUGGACCAAAAAAAUGUGGAGAUAAUUUCUUGUUUAAAGAUUUCCACCCACAUGGAUCCAAAUGUGAAAGAUUCCUGGAAAAGUUGUAAGUGACAAAUCAGGAACUAUGUAAAUUAGGCAAGCUACAGGGCAUUCUAAUAGGUAACCAAUGAAUGUUUUGUUGUACGAAAAUGUUGUGUGAUGCACUGGAUAGUCAUAUCUGCUUCUGUGUAAUAUGUAUAUGCCUGAUCCUGCAUUGAGAUGUACACAGACAGAUACUUGUACCAGUGCAGAGCCACUCUAGUUUUGGUGGAGACUGCCUGUGUGCAACUCAUUCUGGGAUACAUUGGGCUAUAUUAGAAUGUUGUUUGUGUAGCUUCUAAGGGAUAUAUACAAGCAGCUAAUUUUUUUUUUUUUAAGGAACAACUUGAUGCAGAAGCAAAUAUUUCUUCUCAAACAGAAACUGUUCAGACAGUGGCAUCUCUGCAAGCUCCUCAGAAAACACCCAGUACAGACCUUUCAGAUAUCCCUGCUCUCCCUGCAAAUCCUAUUCCUGUUAUCAAGAAUUCAAUAAAACUGAGAUUGAAUCGGUAAAAACAACCUCAGGGGUCCAUAAACAAUACCUGCCAACUCAACCUGUUGUCUUCUAAUGCUAAAAAAGGAGAAUGGAGGGUGCAAGACUAGAACAUGACUGCAAAUGGAUUUAGGUAUAUUUUGUGCACUUCCCUGACUGGGCUGUAAUCACCGCCUCUUUGGAAGUCCAGGUUAGUAUGUGAAGCCAGGAGUACUUUUAAUGUGUUAGCAACAGUUGCAUUAAAUAUUUCGAAGGAUUACUGCCUUUAAAAACAAACAUGAACACUAUUUGUAGCCAUAAUUUACAUUCUGAUUGGAUUUAUGUUUGAUGCAUUGUUUGAAAAUUUUGAGCUAAAACUGGCAUAAGAAUCCCUUAAAUGCACUUUUAUGUACCUUUUUUAUUGGAGUAUGACUAAUUUUAGAUAUUCAACUGAUAUUCUUUCAUUUUUAUUGAAGAGAUUCUUCAGUGCUAGUAAUCUGCGAAUUGGAUAACAUUCUGUGAUAUACUAUACAUUGAAGACAAAGUGUACAGUAUAUCUAGUUAAAUUACCAUCAAGCAGCAGUAAACCUUUAAAAUAAAAUGUCAAAUCUUGGGGUUAUAUGACA